UCCCCCCGUGCUUGAUUGGAAAUUUCUCU
rnacentral:piRNA from 1 species